CGCUUCCGCGCCGGGAGCCCGUCCCGCCGCCCCCGCCCGAGAGUUUGAUCAUGGCUCAGAUUGAACGCUGGCGGCAUGCCUUACACAUGCAAGUCGAACGGCAGCACGGAGCUUGCUCUGGUGGCGAGUGGGCGAACCGGGUGAGUAAUAUAUUCGGAACGUACCCUAGAGUGGGGGAUAACGUAGCGAAAGUUACGCUAAUACCGCAUACGAUCUAAGGAUGAAAGUGGGGGAUCGCAAGACCUCAUGCUCGUGGAGCGGCCGAUAUCUGAUUAGCUAGUUGGUAGGGUAAAAAGCCUACCAAGGCAUCGAUCAGUAGCUGGUUCUGAGAGGACGACCAGCCACACUGGAACUGAGACACGGUCCAGACUCCUACGGGAGGCAGCAGUGGGGAAUUUUGGACAAUGGGCGAAAGCCUGAUCCAGCAAUGCCACGUGAGUGAAGAAGGCCUUCGGGUUGUAAAGCUCUUUUGUCAGGGAAGAAACGGUGAGAGCUAAUAUCUUUUGCUAAUGACGGUACCUGAAGAAUAAGCACCGGCUAACUACGUGCCAGCAGCCGCGGUAAUACGUAGGGUGCAAGCGUUAAUCGGAAUUACUGGGCGUAAAGCGUGCGCAGGCGGUUUUGUAAGUCUGAUGUGAAAUCCCCGGGCUCAACCUGGGAAUUGCAUUGGAGACUGCAAGGCUAGAAUCUGGCAGAGGGGGGUAGAAUUCCACGUGUAGCAGUGAAAAUACGUAGAUAUGUGGAGGAACACCGAUGGCGAAGGCCAGCCCCCUGGGUCAAGAUUGACGCUCAUGCACGAAAGCGUGGGGGAGCAAACAGGAUUAGAUACCCUGGUAGUCCACGCCCUAAACGAUGUCUACUAGUUGUCGGGUCCUUAAUUGACUUGGUAACGCAGCUAACGCGUG
rnacentral:rRNA from 1 species